rnacentral:misc_RNA from 1 species
AUCAUUUCAGAGCAUCAGAAAUGGUUAGUAUUUUUCUUCCAUAGCUAUAAUUAAUUUCAUUGUUAAUUAGAAAUGAAUCAGAUUGCUUUUUUCUGUGGAAGGCCAAGAUUUCAUAUGUUAGAUAUGAUUGCAAUGAUUAUUCACUUGAUAAUCAACAUGUUUCUCAUUUUUGUUCACUCUUUUGGGGGCUAUAUAAUUGUCUGUUGUUAGGAGAUUUUGUUGUGCUCUUGUUAUGGUUUUUGUUAUGUAGUAAAGACAAAAAGUUCAAACACUCCUCCCCCCACCCCCCUGCCGCUGAGGCAGGGAACUUGUGUCAGGUGUCCAAUUUGGCCCAGACCUUUUCCAAUUGGCUCAAUUAAGCCCAAUCUGUUGGGCAUGUUUCACAUAUGCAGAAUAAAUAAAAAAGGGUCUCUCUCUCUCUUUCUCUCUGAAAAAUAGCAACCAGGACUCUAAUAAAAUAAAAGAGAGAGAGUAACAUAUCAGUUAUCACUAAAGAAGCCAAAAACUAAUCUUCCCUUGCAUUCUCAAACCAAAAAAUGCAAUUAAAAACCUAGAAGAAUUACAAACACAGUCAAGGGCAUUGCAUUGGUAGAAGAAUCAGAAAUGUAGUUGAAAUGCAGCCACAACCCAAAUCAGAAAUGCAACUGUGGUCAAAUUGGGCCAAAUUGGACGUUUGAUACAAGUUCAGGAGGGAAAUUGAACUUUAUGCCUAAUGUAAAACCCACUUUACCUGUAGCUUACUGUGUCAUUAUCAGCCUAUGUCGUUCAUGCUUGGCAGUGGAUAGAAGGAUCUACUUCUGCACAAAACAAAAUUUGUUGCACUGACAGUUGAGAUGCAGGCUUCUUUCUUAUUCUAUAUCAUGGGCGGAAAAGCUUCAUGAUGGCUGACUAAACUUUUGCAAUUCUCAGGAUAUCAUAAACAUUGCAGUUGA